ensembl:lncRNA
AUUCUCACUGCCUCAAAAUAACUCAAUGUGCAGUGCAGAGAUACUAGUCUUUAAUUAGAGACCAGAACAGUUUCAACAUAUGGGUCCAGAUUCUAUUCAAAGCAACUGUACUACAAGGGCACAAUCCACCUUUUGUUGAGUUCAGCAGAAACAUAACCUCCUGCCUUCAGCCUGGUAUAAUACAACACUCCCUGAAAUCAGUUUCUUAUUGGAUUCACAUAUGGAGAAUAGAACUAUCUAACUAAAUCCCCCGUGACAGCCGUAGAGAGGCUCUUCAGCAGCCAAAGGAAAAGGCGAGAUGGAAUCCAUAGAGCGAAAUGAUGACAAUAAGCUCUCUGGAACAUACCAAGUGAGUGCAAUCCAUCUCUUCCUACCAUGUGUCAUCAGUGAAUUGGAAGGUUUAUUCAUGCUCUGUGCUAUACUCCCUCAGCCGUCUCACAGAGAAGCUAUAAGACUACCUUGCAGAAUGAGCAUUAACUCCCACAAUUUAACAGCUGAAGUCUUAACAUAGCCAGUGACUUCUUUCUCUGAAAUGCUACUGAAAUGAAAUAGAUGUGAACAAGAACACCUAAAGGAAGUCAGACUUUCUACAAGAUUGAACGCUGUGUCUCAGCAGAGAUUGGAUAGAAACUGUGAACUGAGAAGUAUAUAUAACAAGGAGUUUGAUUUCCUCUUUCCCGAGACUCCUGGAACAGAGUAAUCAGCACAUGUUUGGUAUAUGUAUGACAACAAUAACAAGAUAUUGCUGUUCAAGAGCACUGUAUUCAGAUAGACAGAAAAACAAACGUACGGAGUAGCUUACAACCCACUUAAACGUGAACUACUGCAACACUUAUUCCUUGAACUUUCUGAUUCUCAUCUAGGGACCAGAAAGCUGACCAUUUGCAUUUCCCAUUCUUUCAAGAGCAUCUUUCAUCCAAACUCAGAGAAUAAUGCGGAAGCAUUAAGGUUUACAGCACCUCUGUGAGGUUGGCAAGAGGUAUCCAGAGACGUUUUCACCAAUGGCCUAUGUCAGAGGAUAACAUUUAGCUUAGACCAAUGGAGCUGCAGACUCACACUGAUGGCAGCGUGGUGUGAGGACAGUGUCCAGUGUUCUGAGGUGACAGCUUCCAGACAAGGUAGGUCAGCACAAUGAAGUCCAGAGAUGAAAAGUCAUCCAGUAAACAAUCUCAAAAGGAAUCAUUCCCAGCUCAUUUGACGGCAAGGAGGCAACCAGCAUUCUGACAAUAUCAGUAUCUUCAGAAAGAUCAUGAGGAUCAUGAGAAAGAUCACGAUCAUUUUGUCACAUGCCAUUCAAUUGGUUAGCUCUUCAGUAUCAGUGAUUCAGAAGCUAUGCUUUAUAUUUCAUGUUCAGAAAAAAAAAAAAAAAGUCUUUCAUUUAAUUGAAUGAGAAAAUACAAUGAAGCAAUGCUUGUCACUACAAACAAUUUCAAACAGGAAUUUCCAAGUACUGGAAAUAAGACAUUGCAUCAGCCCACGGCACCCUUCUAAUCCAGACAUUCUCGCCAACAUGUUUUCAAGUCAAGCAUCUCUUCACUUCUGGUUAAUGCCUUCUAUAUAAGCACCAAAGUUAUGCAAGGCAGGCAGCAGACAGACUAAGCUCUAUUGCUGAGCUGGUCUACAGACUUUGAUCUGUCUUUUAGGACUUGAUUCCUUUUCAUAUCUUAAAUGUUAUAUGCUGAUUUUCCUCUACAGUUUCAGCUAAUUGAUACGAAUUAUUACAUCAAUAAAAACAGACACAGGAUUAUAAUCACCUAAUGUCUCAAUAAGGCAUAUACUGUUCAUUCAGAGUUUGUUCCUUCAACAUCAGAUUGAAAUGCUAAUAUUUUCACUGACAUAUCUGAGAGUAGAAGUAAUGUUUAUGAAAUUUUAGGUUUGGGGAAAGAUAUCAAAGAAAUUAAAGUAUAAUUUUCAAAUUAUACUGGAAAAGCCAAAUUGACCUCAUGGAUAGACACAUGUCAUUACUAGUCUAAGAGGCAUGGAAGGGCAGGAGUAAAUUCAGAAACUGAAAUGUGUAACUUCUUCCUUCCAAAACUGAAUAGUUACAUUUACAGCAAAUGUAUCCCCAUCCACUAUGAAUCACUGCUUCAGAUUCCAUUAAAAAUCAUGAGUUU